rnacentral:rRNA from 1 species
AUUGAACGCUGGCGGCAGGCCUAACACAUGCAAGUCGAGCGAGCGGCGGACGGGUGAGUCAUGUAUGGGGCUCUGCCCGAUAGAGGGGGUAAACUACUGGAAACGGUGGCUAAUACCGCCUACCAUCGGAUGAACCCAUAUGGGAUUAGCUAGUAGGUGGGGUAAAGGCUCACCUAGUCGACGAUCUCUAGCUGGUCUGAGAGGAUGAUCAGCCACACUGGAACUGAGACACGGUCCAGACUCCUACGGGAGGCAGCAGUGGGGAAUAUUGCACAAUGGGCGCAAGCCUGAUACAGCCAUGCCGCGUGUAUGAAGAAGGCCUUAGGGUUGUAAAGUACUUUCAGCGGGGAGGCGUUACCCGCAGAGGAAGCACCGGCUAACUCCGUGCCAGCAGCCGCGGUAAUAC